rnacentral:lncRNA from 1 species
UCUCUACCUUUACAAUGUCCGGUUACCCGCACAACAACGUUCCCGGUUACGGUUACGGCCAGCCGCCGCCGCCGUCUUCUCAGCCGUACUCCUCCGCCCCUUACGGAGCUCCUCCACCGUCAUCUCAGCCUCACUCCUCCGCUCCCUACGGUGCUCCACCGCCGUCAUCUCAACCGCACUCCUCCGCUCCCUACGGCGCUCCGACGCCGUCAUCUCAACCGCACUCCGCUCCAUACGGUGGUCCUCCACCGCCUUCUUCAUCAUCACCAUACGGUGUUCCACCGCCGCAAACUUACUCACCAUACGGCGCCGUUCCGUCUCCUU